GAUGAACGCUGGCGGCGUGCCUAAUACAUGCAAGUCGAGCGAACAGACGAGGAGCUUGCUCCUCUGACGUUAGCGGCGGACGGGUGAGUAACACGUGGAUAACCUACCUAUAAGACUGGGAUAACUUCGGGAAACCGGAGCUAAUACCGGAUAAUAUAUUGAACCGCAUGGUUCAAUAGUGAAAGACGGUUUUGCUGUCACUUAUAGAUGGAUCCGCGCCGCAUUAGCUAGUUGGUAAGGUAACGGCUUACCAAGGCAACGAUGCGUAGCCGACCUGAGAGGGGGGAGCGGCCACACAGGAAUUAGACCACGGCCCAGCCUCCACGGGGAGGAGCCGUAGGGAAUGCUCCCAAAAGGGGCGAAAGCCAGAGGGACAACCCCGGGGGGGGUAUUGAAGGUUUUGGUAUGUAAAAACUUUUUUAUAGGGAAAAAAAAAAUGUGAAAGUAACAAUGCGCGUCUGGACGGUACCUAAUAAAAAAGCCACGACUAACUCCGUG
rnacentral:rRNA from 1 species